rnacentral:siRNA from 1 species
UGGUCGACGAUUCCUCGGACC